UUCAGGUUGUUAAAACAGAAAAAAACUUGACAAUUAAGUUUAGGCAUCAAUUCUGACUGGUUAAGGUAAGGGUUAAGUUUUGGGAUAAGGUUGAAACAGAAAACAAUUAAAACAAGUCCCUAGCAUUGGGAUUGAACCCACAAACCUCUCAGCCAAAGCCUGCGGUUUAAGCUUUUCCUCUAUCUCAAUCCACAACACCCUAGCAAGCUGUGCGUCUACUAGAUGGUAUUACGUGUUCAUGUUGCCCCUAGUGGACAGUAUUGAAGACAUCUGACGUCCUGGGGACCUGGACAAACGUUGAAUACUGAAGUGUAUCUGGUGUGACCUAGCUGUUUAUACGGCAGUCACACACACACACACGCACGACACACACACACACACACAUCUGUUUAGACCAAUCUACUCUCCAGACAGAGGUGUCAACAGACAAUUCAACAGUCAACAUACCUGAUGAAUAAUGGGGAAUAUGAGAAUAUGUGCCUCUUUGUGAACUUUAAGCUGUUACAGUCAUUAUGUUUGGACCAGAAAGAUUGUAAUUGCCUGGAAAAUUAGUAGAGAAAAGGAGAAAGUCCACACUUUGAAUUAGAGUAGAAGAAAAAAAAUUAUUCAGACAAACAUGUCCUAUUUGCUAAUGAGUCGUAUGGAAUGUAGAUGAUAUAGCAGGAUAAUUAUACAAUGCUUUAUAAUGAUAAUGCCCCCUCAGGUAGGAACGGUGUAGGUAAGGGUCAGGUCCCCCUCAGGUAGAAACUGAGCAGGUCAGGAGGUUGGUGGCAUCUUAAUUGGGAAGGACGAGCUUGUGUUAAUGGCUGUUGUGGAAUGGAUUCAAAAACAUCAAAUAGCAUUCCAUUCAUAUGUGCCAUCCUCCCCUCAGCAGUCUCCACUGUCGUGCAGGUCAGGGUUCCCCUCAGGUAGAAACUGUGCAGGUCAGAGUGAGGGCCUCCCAGGUAGGAACUGUGCAGGUCAGAGUGAGGGCCCCUCUCAGGUAGGAACUGUGCAGGUCAGAGUGAGGGCCCUCCUCAGGUAGGAACUGUGCAGGUCAGAGUGAGGGCCUCCCAGGUAGGAACUGUGCAGGUCAGAGUGAGGGCCCCCCUCAGGUAGGAACUGUGCAGGUCAGAGUGAGGGCCCCUCUCAGGUAGGAACUAUGCAGGUCAGAGUGAGGGCCCCUCUCAGGUAGGAACUGUGCAGGUCAGGGCCCAUUUCAUUACAAUUCCAUCAAUUUGGAAUGAAUUAAAAUGCCAAUCGAUUAAUUAAAUGAAUGCUAUUUUGUCUUCCAUUUUUUUAUUAAAUAAAAUAUCCCACAUAGCAAUAGGAGCUCAAUCCUAUUUGAAAUGUCAAGUCUCAAUAUCAUCAGAUGUUUAGAGUGAGUUUAGAAGUUACAUUUACUCAAAUGAAUCCCCCGACCUCAACCAAAUUGAGAUAGUUUGGGAUAAGUCGGACCGCAGAGUGAAGGAAAAGCAGUGCUCAGCAUAUGUGGAAACUCCUUCAAGACUGUUGGAAAGCAUUCCAGGUGAAGCUGGUUGAGAGAAUGCCAAGUGUGUGCAAAGCUGUCAAGGCAAAGGGUGGCUAUUUGAAGAACCUCAAAUGUAAAAUAUAUUUUGAUUUGUUUGUUUAACACUUUUUUUGCUUACUACAUAUGUGUUAUUUCAUAGUUUUGAUGUCUUCCCUAAUAUUCUACAAUGUAGAAAAUAGUUUUAAAAAAAUAAAGAAAAAACUUGAAUGAGUAGGUGGGUCCAAACUUUUGACUGGUACUGUAUAUAUUUUUACAAUACAAAACAUCCACAUACGAACAACAACUUACAGACAAACACAAACAUCCACAACAUCACUCCUGCUCAGACCCACCUGCUCACACCAUCUCCAGAGCCCACAGUACUCUCCGCCAAAUGCCCUCAAACUGCACCAUUUUGUGGGAGAACCUAGACAUUCAUCAGCCUUACAUCAUGGGGGAUGAAGUAGAGAACCUAGACAUUCAUCAGCCUUACAUCAUGGGGG
rnacentral:lncRNA from 1 species